rnacentral:rRNA from 1 species
AUUGAACGCUGGCGGCAGGCCUAACACAUGCAAGUCGAGCGGAUGAAGGGAGCUUGCUCCUGGAUUCAGCGGCGGACGGGUGAGUAAUGCCUAGGAAUCUGCCUGGUAGUGGGGGAUAACGUCCGGAAACGGGCGCUAAUACCGCAUACGUCCUGAGGGAGAAAGUGGGGGAUCUUCGGACCUCACGCUAUCAGAUGAGCCUAGGUCGGAUUAGCUAGUUGGUGGGGUAAAGGCCUACCAAGGCGACGAUCCGUAACUGGUCUGAGAGGAUGAUCAGUCACACUGGAACUGAGACACGGUCCAGACUCCUACGGGAGGCAGCAGUGGGGAAUAUUGGACGAUGGGCGAAAGCCUGAUCCAGCCAUGCCGCGUGUGUGGAGAAGGUCUUCGGAUUGUAAAGCACUUUAAGUUGGGAGGAAGGGCAGUAAGUUAAUACCUUGCUGUUUUGACGUUACCAACAGAAUAAGCACCGGCUAACUUCGUG